UAAAAUCCUAAUCAAUUAUAUGGUUUGCAAAUACUUUCUCGCAUUUAGUAGGCUAGCUUUUCAUUUUGUUGUGUGUUUUCUUUGCUCUGCAGAAAUAUGAAAAAGAAAAAAAGGGCAUCCAAAUCAUCAAGGAGAGAGCAAAGUGAAUAGUGUGAUUUGCUUAGAGGACAAUGCUGCUACAAAAACCUGUUCCACUCCAAGGCCAACUGCAGUUUUGAGCCAUAUCCAAAGAGGGAAAAGCAGAGACUGAUUUAAACUGGCCUGUGUACUAUCCCAAACUCACCAAUCAAAUAAGUCAUUUCCUCCCCCAGGAGAGGGGAACCAAGGAUGUCCUUCCGCAUGAAAAUGUCAGAACGAGAAAGAGAAGAAAAGGAAAUUGUUGAAGAAUCUAGGAGUGUUUGAAAGAGGAAGAGACUGCAUUGUGCUCCCCAGAUCAAUGGUUGAUAAGCUGAAGUUGUCCUCACACCAUUAAGAGACACAGUGGUAAAUCACAUGAUAGGUGUCACAGGAAGUUAAACUGUAUAAACAGAGAGACCAGUGCCUACUUUUUUUUUUUUUUUUGAGACGGAGUCUCGCUCUGUCGCCCAGGCUAGAGUGCAGUGGCGCGAUCUCUGCUCACUGCAAGCUCCGCCUGCCGGGUUCACGCCACUCUCCUGCCUCAGCCUCCGGAGUAGCUGGGACUACAGGCACCGGCCACCACGCCCGGCUAAUUUUUUGUAUUUUUAGUAGCGACGGGGUUUCACCGUGGUCUCCAUCUCCUGACCUCGUGAUCCGCCCGCCUCGGCCUCCCAAAGUGCUGGUAUUACAGGUGUCAGCCACCGCGCCUGACCAACAGUAAAAAAGGAUGAGGUGAACUGCCUUGGUCAGACUCUGAGAAAUACUCACAGUUCCUCCUUCCUCCUGGCCAAGUCCUUGAAGAAUCAAAGCAGCAAAUAAACAAGGUGGAACAAGAGUGAAAAUGAGAAUGCAUUUAUCUUCUCCACUGAACGACCCCAAGUCCUGUGUCAGGGCUGAGAUGUUUGAGUUGCUCCCAGUUUUAUGCUACCAUGAAUGAGUUAACACUGAUUGUAGCUGAGACAUCUGCUGCUGUGUUGCUCCUUCAAAGGUGAUGUGUCUUUUCUCUCUAAUUUUAAGAUCUUUUCUUGGUCUUUGUGUUCUGCAAUUUUAUUACAAUGUGACUAGGUAUGUGAUAAUUUUAAAAUAAGUCUACAAAUUCUUAGACAGCCCUUUCUUCAUGAAAUGGAACCUAAUUCUUCUCCCUCUGAGUGUGGGCUGAACCUAGUGACUUCAUUCUAACAACAGAAUUUGGCAAAAUAUUACUUCCAAAACCAGGCCAAUGUUCUUUUCUGCUUUCUCACUUGGAUUGCCACUCUGGGAAAGACAGCUGUCAGGUCAUGAGCACACUCAAGCGAGCCCUGUGGAGGGGUCCAUGUGGCAAGGCACAGAGGCCUCCAAUAAACAGACAUAUGUGUGAGCCAUCUCGGAAGCAGAUACUCCAGCCCCAGUCCAGCCUUCAGAUGACUACAAUCUCACAAGUGACCCCAAGCUAGACCUACUAAGCUAAGCAACUAGUGAUUCCUGUCCC
rnacentral:lncRNA from 1 species